rnacentral:tRNA from 1 species
UGUGGCUCAGUGGUAGAGCACUUGCUUCACAUGUAUGAGGCACUGAGUUUGAUUCUCAGCA